rnacentral:rRNA from 1 species
CCCGCUGAACUUAAGCAUAUCAAUAAGCGGAGGAAAAGAAACCAACAGGGAUUGCCCCAGUAACGGCGAGUGAAGCGGCAACAGCUCAAAUUUGAAAUCUGGCCCCCCGGGGCCCGAGUUGUAAUUUGCAGAGGAUGCUUUUGGCGAGGCGCCUUCCGAGUUCCCUGGAACGGGACGCCACAGAGGGUGAGAGCCCCGUCUGGUCGGAUGCCGAGCCUCUGUAAAGCUCCUUCGACGAGUCGAGUAGUUUGGGAAUGCUGCUCUAAAUGGGAGGUAUAUGUCUUCUAAAGCUAAAUAUUGGCCAGAGACCGAUAGCGCACAAGUAGAGUGAUCGAAAGAUGAAAAGCACUUUGAAAAGAGGGUUAAAUAGUACGUGAAAUUGUUGAAAGGGAAGCGCUCAUGACCAGACUUGGGCCCGGUGAAUCAUCCAGCGUUCUCGCUGGUGCACUUUGCCGGGCUCAGGCCAGCAUCAGUUUGCCCCGGGGGAUAAAGGCUCUGGGAAUGUGGCUCCUCCGGGAGUGUUAUAGCCCUCUGCGCAAUGCCCUGGGGCGGACUGAGGU